AACCUACACUGAGGUUUAUAGGUCUCCUGUGGAAAGCUAAAUUUAAAAAAGUUGGAUUGGAUCCUUUCUCACUGCCUUCGUGAGGCGGAGGUGCUCCUUACCUGCUCCCU
rnacentral:lncRNA from 1 species